GUGAGAAUGAAACAAAACACAACUCCAGGUCUGUGUGUGACGAGGAAACUAAACAUCCGAUCGUAAAACAGUAACAUGUCCAUUUUAAACUGUGGCGUGUUAAAUACCAGGGGGAGAGGCGGGUUUCAGGCUCGUCUUAAGCGGCGUUAAAGUCUGAGGAGCGACAGUACGGCACAUUCUGCUCAUGUGAGGGAGAGUAUCUUUGUUAGUGAUUCUUAUGAUUAUAUAAAAGUUUCAUGAACGACUCGUGCUCGUCUGUCGGGGUAAAAACGGACUCAGACACGUUUCUAAGACACCGGCGCGUGAGCGUGUGUGCCGAGGCGUGUGCCGAGGCGUGUGCCGAGGCGUGUGCCGAGGCGUGUGCCGAGGCGUGCUCCUGUGCGCUCCCAGCGGAUGCGACGUGAGGCCGGAUUUAAUUGGAUCCGGUGUAAGGUCUUAUGAAAGGAUUACCCAGGACGGAAAAUCACGUAACAAAAGAUCCCAAGUGGAAGGAAACUAAUCAAUCGAGUUCAUAGACUGUACAGAUACGUGGACAUGGCUAACGCGCUAGCGCCGCGUGAUCGUGGACGCGCUAACAGCUCCGUUAGCUCUGGCUCCAGUUCACUUUCUAUUGAAAAACUGUGUCCUGUCUCUGUCACUGCUGCUGUGAGACUCGUCAUUUUGGUCUUAAAUGUUUGAAUUGUGAGGGAUUUUAGUGUUUGUGUGUCAGUCUGUGUUUGUGUCUUUGUUUGUGUCUCUGUC
ensembl:lncRNA